GAAAGAACCUGGCCUAUUGGAUGCUGUCACAUACCUCACAGGGGUCUCUGAGUCCAUUUGGCUUGGAGUCUUCUGUGAACCCAUCGCGUGGAUGCAUCACAAGAACUCCAUUAGUGGUCAGGCCAUCCAUCUGCCCGUCGGACGUCUUCCAUUUGGUAGCCUUCUCCCCAAGAAAGAUGUUUUUUGAUGAAUCAAAUCCUGCAGCAUAAAUCCGAGCUGUAAAGGGAGGAUUACGUUCACAAAUGAUCCUACAGGCAAACCUCGAUAUAGUGCUUUGUACGGACUGCGUGUCGGAAUUACUCUGACUUCCAGGAACUGUGUCAGUUACCACAAAAUCAAUAGGACUUUCAGUUGACCGGCCAAUCUGAAACAUAUCAGUGUUGCUGUCGUGAGUAUAUUCAACCACCACUGUCUGGGCUCGAGAUAAAGUCUACGAUAUGCUAUGCUGGUCCUUGUUGCUUAUUGCCUUGGCGGCCUGAGGAGUGCAUGCAAUGUGCACGGUGCUAGGCUUCACCCCAUUUGCCUUAGGUCUUUUAAACAAAGCAAACCUACUUUUCCUCCUUCCUCUGUCGCCCUUUGGGAGAGACCCAUUAUACCCUAAGACAAUGAGUUCGCCAUAUUUUACUGGGGCUUUGGAAGGAUGAUUUUCUUAAUCAGGAGAAAACAUGAGCUUGGCUGUCUUUCUCAAAUCUCUGUUCACUGGUCAGGAGCCUUGAGACACCUUUUGCAUUAUUUCCGGACGACUGCUGGGGGCCUAACGCCAGCUCGGCCCGGCGCGGACACCCGGGACGCGGGGGCGGCGCAAGCACCG
rnacentral:lncRNA from 1 species